rfam:Bacillus sp. HMSC76G11 genomic scaffold Scaffold1380, whole genome shotgun sequence.
AAGACCUUUUAAUGGAGUCCAGAGAGGCUGCAAAAGGGAAAGAAAAUCACACGCCUGUGAUCAGUUUGAGUCAGGCGGGAUUAUUCUGCCUCUUUGCACCUCAUGCAAAGAGGUUUUUUGUU